GUUUGAUCAUGGCUCAGGGUGAAUGCUGGCGGCGUGGAUAAGGCAUGCAAGUCGAACGGGUUUAGACCCGUGGCAGACGAGGUAGUAACACGUAGGAACGUACCCCGAAGUCCGGGAUAUUCCGUCGAAAGACGGCGCAAUACCGGAUGGUCUCUAAGGAGUAAAGAUUUAUCGCUUCGGGAGCGGCCUGCGCAGUAUCAGCUAGUUGGUAGGGUAACGGCCUACCAAGGCUAUGACGCUUAGGGGAGCUGAGAGGCUGACCCCCACCGAUGGAACUGAGAUACGGUCCUUACUCCUACGGGAGGCCGCAGUCGAGAAUCUUCCGCAAUGGACGCAAGUCUGACGGAGCGACGCCGCGUGGUGGAUGAAGUCCCUCUGGGACGUAAACACCUUUUAUGAGGGAUGACAUUUCGACAGUACCUCAUGAAUAAGGGGCUCCUAACUCUGUGCCAGCAGGAGCGGUAAUACAGAGGCCCCAAGCAUUACCCGGAAUUACUGGGCGUAAAGGGUGCGUAGGUGGCGUGAUUAGUCCUUUCUAAAAUCUUCCUUGCUCAACAGGGAUGCUCGAAGGGAAACGGUCAUGCUCGAGGAUGUACAAGGUGUGUGGAACUCACGGUGUAGGGGUGAAAUCCGUUGAUAUCGUGGGGAACAUCGAAUGCGAAGGCAGCACACUGGGACAUUCCUGACACUGAGGCACGAAGGCGUGGGUAGCGAAAAGGAUUAGAUACCCUUGUAGUCCACGCCCUAAAACAAUGUUCUCUGGCUAUGAGGAGUAUCGACCCUCUUCGUGGCGAAGCUAACGCGUUAAGAGAACCGCCUGGGUAGUACGGUCGCAAGACUAAAACUUAAAUGAAUUGACGGAAG
rnacentral:rRNA from 1 species